rnacentral:tRNA from 1 species
GUAGACGGCUCAGCGGUUAAGAGCACUUGUUCUUACGGAGAGGACCUGGGUUCAAUUCCCAGCACCUACA